UAAUUGAAGAGUUUGAUCAUGGCUCAGAUUGAACGCUGGCGGCAGGCUUAACACAUGCAAGUCGAGCGGUAGCACAGGGGAGCUUGCUCCCUGGGUGACGAGCGGCGGACGGGUGAGUAAUGUCUGGGAAACUGCCUGAUGGAGGGGGAUAACUACUGGAAACGGUAGCUAAUACCGCAUAACGUCGCAAGACCAAAGAGGGGGACCUUCGGGCCUCUUGCCAUCAGAUGUGCCCAGAUGGGAUUAGCUAGUAGGUGGGGUAAUGGCUCACCUAGGCGACGAUCCCUAGCUGGUCUGAGAGGAUGACCAGCCACACUGGAACUGAGACACGGUCCAGACUCCUACGGGAGGCAGCAGUGGGGAAUAUUGCACAAUGGGCGCAAGCCUGAUGCAGCCAUGCCGCGUGUGUGAAGAAGGCCUUCGGGUUGUAAAGCACUUUCAGCGAGGAGGAAGGUGGUGAGCUUAAUACG
rnacentral:rRNA from 1 species